UUGACGAAACAGGGGUGCUUUGGCGCGGACACACGUCGCGGCGAGGCUGAGAGAGACCCUUCGCACCCGAUCCGGGUAAUACCGGCGCGGGAAGUUUCGAAGUCUUUCGU
rnacentral:ncRNA from 2 species